GCAUUUAAAACAGCCCCCUCUUUAGCCCCUCCUCCCCUGUUUAACCAGAGGAGCAGCCUCCCUCCCCCUCACCUGUCUCACUCCCGAAGCCCUUCCCUUCCUUGACUGCCAAGUCUGGCAUCCCUUGAAGUGAAGCAAGAGAUUUCCAGGAAAAGAGUCUUUCCUACAUCCAGAAUGGGCCCUGCCCACCCAUGGGGCCCAUUUCCAAGACUGUGAACCAGGCCAUGUUUGCUUUUCCCACCCUUUCUCGCCCCCUUGACAUUUCCUUUCCAGCUGUUCCCCAAGGCCGGAGUCACCUCCCAUCCACUCCAGGAGACCCCUGGGAAAGGUCUCUUCUCUUCUCCUGGACCACAGAAGAGAGCUGAAGGAAGGGCGUGAAAUCAGAGACAGUGGGAGCAAGACAUUAGCCUGGAACCUUCUGUAACAUAGAACUGGACUCAAGGAAGCUGCCUUUCCUUCGCCUCUAGAAAGGCCACAGAGAGAAACACCACAACCGCUCCCCAGUUGGCUGAAUGAACAUUAGGCCAAUAA